rnacentral:lncRNA from 1 species
GUUCCUACUGCUCUCCUGCAAGGUGUAAUCUGCAUCUUGCACUGGGAAGGGGAUAGCUGGUGACAGGAUCUCUGUGCUAGGAACAGACUGACAGUUUGGGGUGUAAAUCCCCAGAGCAGGACUGGUCCCAGCGCUUCUUCUUUCUUUCUUUGUGCUUUGGGAAGAGAACAGACUCAAGAAUUAUACUGAUCUAAGUCCAAGAACAAACAUUCCUCCUUCACAGGCCACAGCCUCUCCUGUGUCAUGUGAGGAAGAGAAGCAGGGAAGGGCAGUGCUUUGCCAAGACUAGAAUGUACCCAAAUCUGUGAAUACCGUCAGGAGCUGGGAAGAGGAAGAAAGAGCCCAAGUGGUCAGCCCUGGAAAGGGCAGUUCCUGCCGAGAACUGGCUGGGGAACAUUUUCCUAACCAGCAACAGCUGUCAAAAGGGGAAAGAAGAGUGAUUGUGGACCCUGCCAGCAGCACCUCUCAUCUGCAGCUGGGACGGGAGAGCAGACAGCUCCCAGCACAGUCCUCUGGCCCCGCAGCAAGGAAAACGUGUGUCAUUUUCCAGAGGGCUGAGCCAGCACUAACCAGGGAAACAGGCACAGAGAAGGAGCUGUUGGAGCAGAGCCAAGAGAAGGGCUGAGACUGAAUAGUCCAAUAAAUCCAGCAAUUUCUCCAUGUGCUUCCAGCCCUUCUUGCUUAACCUCAGAGAGAAAAAGUGACACUGGCAGAAGGAAAGAAAAGGAGUGGGGCUCUGUGCAGGUCUGCAGAUCCCCAGGAUCCACAUCCAGAGAGCUCCUGGCAAUGGUCAUGCCCCUGGCUGCCUUCCCCAGAACUCUUGCUUGCUGCACAGGAAGGGUAAGUGCUGAGGCUGCUGGAGAUGUGCAGCAUCUCCAUGUGCAGAGUUUAG